CCUACGUGGUGCUGCAGUGGGGAAUAUUGGACAAUGGGCGAAAGCCUGAUCCAGCCAUGCCGCGUGUGUGAAGAAGGCCUUCGGGUUGUAAAGCACUUUCAGUGGGGAAGAAAGCCUUGGGGCUAAUACCCUCGAGGAAGGACAUCACCCACAGAAGAAGCACCGUCUAACUCCGUGCCAGCAGCCGCGGUAAUACGGAGGGUGCGAGCGUUAAUCGGAAUUACUGGGCGUAAAGCGCGCGUAGGCGGUCUGAUAAGCCGGUUGUGAAAGCCCCGGGCUCAACCUGGGAACGGCAUCCGGAACUGUCAGGCUAGAGUGCAGGAGAGGAAGGUAGAAUUCCCGGUGUAGCGGUGAAAUGCGUAGAGAUCGGGAGGAAUACCAGUGGCGAAGGCGGCCUUCUGGACUGACACUGACGCUGAGGUGCGAAAGCGUGGGUAGCAAACAGGAUUAGAUACCCUGGUAGUC
rnacentral:rRNA from 1 species